rnacentral:rRNA from 1 species
AGAGUUUGAUCCUGGCUUAGGAUGAACGCUAGCGGCAGGCCUAAUACAUGCAAGUCGAACGGGAUAGGCUCCUCGGGGGCCUUGAGAGUGGCGCACGGGUGCGCAACGCGUAUGCAACAACCCCCGACAGGCGGAUAGCCGGUGGAAACGCCGGAUAAUACGCCAUGGUUCCGUGGGAGGGCAUCCUCCUGAGGAUAAAGCUACGGCGGUCGGGGACGGGCAUGCGUCCCAUUAGAUGGUAGGCGGGGUGACGGCCCACCUAGUCCACGAUGGGUAGGGGAUCUGAGAGGACGGUCCCCCACACUGGUACUGAGACACGGACCAGACUCCUGCGGGAGGCAGCAGUAAGGGAUAUUGGUCAAUGGGCGGAAGCCUGAACCAAGCCAUGCCGCGUGAGGGAAUGAGGCCCUACGGGUCGUGAACCUCUUUUAUUCGGGGACAAGGACGUGGUCGGGAACCGUGUUUGAGGGUACCGAAGGAAUAAGCGUCGGCUAACUCCGUGCCAGCCGCGGC